rnacentral:rRNA from 1 species
UACGUAGGGGGCAAGCGUUGUCCGGAUUUAUUGGGCGUAAAGAGCGUGUAGGCGGUUUGGUAGGUCCGUUGUGAAAACUCGAGGCUCAACCUCGAGACGCCGGCGGAAACCAUCAGGCUAGAGUCCGGAAGAGGAGAGUGGAAUUCCUGGUGUAGCGGUGAAAUGCGCAGAUAUCAGGAAGAACACCCGUGGCUAAGGCGGCUCUCUAGUACGAUACUGACGCUGAGACGCGAAAGCGUGGGGAGCGAACAGG